rnacentral:lncRNA from 1 species
UGUUCUUUGGGUUCUGUGUCCCCAAUAUGUCAUAUGAGUGUAGCACUGUUGUAAAAGGUCAUUUUUCACAAAUCUCAUGUAUUUUUUUUUCAUGUAUUUUUAAAAUUGUUUUGAAGAAAUAAAGUCUCACUUCAAAGAUAUUAAAUUUUCCUAGGCAAAAGGUGUAUCAGAUAUGUGAGAUACAUGUUAAAACAAUGGAGGAAAUGUAUUCAGCCAUUGUUAUAGGGUUUCUUUGAACUAGGAUUAUGUUAGUAAGUAGAAAAGUGGAAAUCAUUAAUAAAUAAACCAUAUUAAAGAGCCCA